UGUGAAGGUGGCCUGUGAGGGUUGCUGGAGGUAUCAGAAGUGCGAAUGCUGACAUAAGUAACGAUAAAGCGGGUGAAAAGCCCGCUCGCCGGAAGACCAAGGGUUCCUGUCCAACGUUAAUCGGGGCAGGGUGAGUCGACCCCUAAGGCGAGGCCGAAAGGCGUAGUCGAUGGGAAACGGGUUAAUAUUCCCGUACUUGGUGUUACUGCGAAGGGGGGACGGAGAAGGCUAUGUUGGCCGGGCGACGGUUGUCCCGGUUUAAGCGUGUAGGUGUGUGUUCCAGGUAAAUCCGGUUCACUUUAACACUGAGGCGUGACGACGAGGCACUACGGUGCUGAAGCAACAAAUGCCCUGCUUCCAGGAAAAGCCUCUAAGCAUCAGGUAACAUCAAAUCGUACCCCAAACCGACACAGGUGGUCAGGUAGAGAAUACCAAGGCGCUUGAGAGAACUCGGGUGAAGGAACUAGGCAAAAUGGUGCCGUAACUUCGGGAGAAGGCACGCUGACAUGUAGGUGAAGUGAUUUACUCAUGGAGCUGAAGUCAGUCGAAGAUACCAGCUGGCUGCAACUGUUUAUUAAAAACACAGCACUGUGCAAACACGAAAGUGGACGUAUACGGUGUGACGCCUGCCCGGUGCCGGAAGGUUAAUUGAUGGGGUCAGCGCAAGCGAAGCUCCUGAUCGAAGCCCCGGUAAACGGCGGCCGUAACUAUAACGGUCCUAAGGUAGCGAAAUUCCUUGUCGGGUAAGUUCCGACCUGCACGAAUGGCGUAAUGAUGGCCAGGCUGUCUCCACCCGAGACUCAGUGAAAUUGAACUCGCUGUGAAGAUGCAGUGUACCCGCGGCAAGACGGAAAGACCCCGUGAACCUUUACUAUAGCUUGACACUGAACAUUGAGCCUUGAUGUGUAGGAUAGGUGGGAGGCUU
rnacentral:rRNA from 1 species